rnacentral:rRNA from 1 species
GACGAACGCUGGCGGCGCGCCUAACACAUGCAAGUCGAACGGAGUCAAGAGGAGCUUGCUUUUCUUGACUUAGUGGCGAACGGGUGAGUAACGCGUGAGUAACCUGCCCUGGAGUGGGGGACAACAGUUGGAAACGACUGCUAAUACCGCAUAAGCCCACGGAUCCGCAUGGAUCUGCGGGAAAAGGAUUUAUUCGCUUCAGGAUGGACUCGCGUCCAAUUAGCUAGUUGGUGAGGUAACGGCCCACCAAGGCGACGAUUGGUAGCCGGACUGAGAGGUUGAACGGCCACAUUGGGACUGAGACACGGCCCAGACUCCUAUGGGAGGCAGCAGUGGGGGAUAUUGCACAAUGGGGGAAACCCUGAUGCAGCGACGCCGCGUGGAGGAAGAAGGUUUUCGGAUUGUAAACUCCUGUCGUUAGGGACGAUAAUGACGGUACCUAACAAGAAAGCACCGGCUAACUACGUG